UAGGGAAUCUUCGGCAAUGGGGGGAACCCUGACCGAGCAACGCCGCGUGAGUGAAGAAGGUUUUCGGAUCGUAAAGCUCUGUUGUUAAGGAAGAACGAGUGUGAGAAUGGAAAGUUCAUGCUGUGACGGUACUUAACCAGAAAGGGACGGCUAACUACGCGCCAGCAGCCGCGGUAAUACGUAGGUCCCGAGCGUUGUCCGGAUUUAUUGGGCGUAAAGCGAGCGCAGGCGGUUAGAAAAGUCUGAAGUGAAAGGCAGUGGCUCAACCAUUGUAGGCUUUGGAAACUGUUUAACUUGAGUGCAGAAGGGGAGAGUGGAAUUCCAUGUGUAGCGGUGAAAUGCGUAGAUAUAUGGAGGAACACCGGUGGCGAAAGCGGCUCUCUGGUCUGUAACUGACGCUGAGGCUCGAAAGCGUGGGGAGCGAACAGG
rnacentral:rRNA from 1 species